AUUGAACGCUGGCGGCAUGCCUUACACAUGCAAGUCGAACGGCAGCACGGGAGCAAUCCUGGUGGCGAGUGGCGAACGGGUGAGUAAUAUAUCGGAACGUGCCCAAUCGUGGGGGAUAACGUAGCGAAAGCUACGCUAAUACCGCAUACGAUCUAUGGAUGAAAGCGGGGGAUCGCAAGACCUCGCGCGAUUGGAGCGGCCGAUAUCAGAUUAGGUAGUUGGUGGGGUAAAAGCCUACCAAACCUUCGAUCUGUAGCUGGUCUGAGAGGACGACCAGCCACACUGGAACUGAGACACGGUCCAGACUCCUACGGGAGGCAGCAGUGGGGAAUUUUGGACAAUGGGCGCAAGCCUGAUCCAGCAAUGCCGCGUGCAGGAUGAAGGCCUUCGGGUUGUAAACUGCUUUUGUACGGAACGAAACGGUUCUUUCUAAUAAAGAGGGCUAAUGACGGUACCGUAAGAAUAAGCACCGGCUAACUACGUG
rnacentral:rRNA from 1 species